GAUGAAGAACGCAGUGAAAUGCGAUACGUAAUGUGAAUUGCAGAAUUCAGUGAAUCAUCGAAUCUUUGAACGCAUAUUGCGCUCUUUGGUAUUCCGAAGAGCAUGCUUGUUUGAGUAUCAGUAAACACCUCAACCUCUUCUUGAUUUUUCAAAAGGAGGGUGGACUUGAGCUAUCCCAACAACCUUUACCGGUCGGCGGGCGGCUUGAAAUGCAGGUGCAGCUGGACUUUUAUCUGAACUAAAAGCAUAUCUAUUUAGUCCUCGUCAAACAGGAUUAUUACUUUUGCUGCAGCUAACAUAAAGGAUAAUUGUCCUCUUUGCUGACUGAUGCAGGAUUUUACGACACUUUAUGUGUUGUUCAACUCGAUCUCAAAUCAAGUAAGACUACCCGCUGAACUUAAGCAUAUCAAUAAGCGGAGGA
rnacentral:misc_RNA from 1 species